rnacentral:rRNA from 1 species
UACAGAGGGUGCGAGCGUUAAUCGGAAUUACUGGGCGUAAAGCGCACGUAGGUGGCGACGUAAGUCGGGUGUGAAAGCCCCGGGCUCAACCUGGGAAUUGCAUUCGAGACUGCAUUGCUGGAGUACGGAAGAGGAAGGCGGAAUUCCCGGUGUAGCGGUGAAAUGCGUAGAUAUCGGGAGGAACAUCAGUGGCGAAGGCGGCCUUCUGGUCCAGUACUGACACUCAGGUGCGACAGCGUGGGGAGCAAACAGG